CGGGUGCUGGGCUCCUUCUACCGCCUGUUGUCUUUGCUUCUGCAGGUGCUGCGCGGGGGACAGCUUCCUUCACCCCAGCAAGGUAACUCAGAACUAGUUCAGCCUGAAGAAGAGUCAUUUUCUGAUCAUAUGCUUCAACUUGAAUGAUUAGACACAUGAUGUGCUGCUUGAGAAGGACCCUUUCUGAAGCCAGUUCAAAACAAGUUGCUCCAGUUGAAAAUGAAAGAUUUUCCUGAGGAUUCUCCAUUAUCCUUUUGUUGCGAUGAUGUUCCUUGUUGUACUG